UCUGGGUGCAGCGGCAUGCGUGCCUGUAGUCCUGGCUACUUGGGAGACUGAGGCAGGAGGCUCACUUGAGCCCAGGAGUUCAGAGUUGUAGCCCAUCAGGUGUCUGCACUAAGCUUGCCAUCAAUAUAGUGACCUCCUGGGAGUGGAGGACCACAGGUUCCCUAAGGAGGGGUGAACUGGUACAGGUUGGAAACAAGGGCAUGUUAAAAAAUACCAUGGGCACGGUAGCUCACGCCUGUAAUCCUAGCACUUUGGGAGGCUGCGGCGGGAGGAACAAUCGAGCCCAGGAGUUAGAGAUCAGCCUGGGUAAUGCAGUGAGAUCCUGUCCCUA
ensembl:misc_RNA Metazoa_SRP Metazoan signal recognition particle RNA